AACGAACGCUGGCGGCAUGCCUAACACAUGCAAGUCGAACGAAGGCUUCGGCCUUAGUGGCGCACGGGUGCGUAACGCGUGGGAAUCUGCCCCUCGGUUCGGAAUAACAGUUAGAAAUGACUGCUAAUACCGGAUGAUGACUUCGGUCCAAAGAUUUAUCGCCGAGGGAUGAGCCCGCGUAGGAUUAGCUAGUUGGUGUGGUAAUGGCGCACCAAGGCGACGAUCCUUAGCUGGUCUGAGAGGAUGAUCAGCCACACUGGGACUGAGACACGGCCCAGACUCCUACGGGAGGCAGCAGUGGGGAAUAUUGGACAAUGGGCGAAAGCCUGAUCCAGCAAUGCCGCGUGAGUGAUGAAGGCCUUAGGGUUGUAAAGCUCUUUUACCAGGGAUGAUAAUGACAGUACCUGGAGAAUAAGCUCCGGCUAACUCCGUGCCAGCCGCCGCGGUAAGAC
rnacentral:rRNA from 1 species